rnacentral:tRNA from 1 species
ACUUAAAUAGCUUAUAAUUAGAGCGCAACACUGAAGAUGUUGAUGAGGAUAUUUAUUUCCUUUGGGUG